CGCCGGUUAGUUCAGCGGCUAGAACGUCUGUCCUACAAACAGAAUGUCGGAGGUUCGAGUCCUCCACCGGCGACCA
rnacentral:tRNA from 1 species